rnacentral:lncRNA from 1 species
CUCCUGCCUCCCUCCCCUUCUCUCUCUCUCCUCUCCUCUCUCUUCUCCUCCUCUCUCUCUCUCAACAGAAACAUACUCAGUUAGCUGUUAACGUUAAUAAAAGAGACAGACUCGUUUUCACGAAAGAAAUAAAAACUUGUAGCACUAUGGAAAAAAAGAGGAAAAAUAGUUUGGUGCUCAACUCGUAAGUUCACAUUGAUUUUUUUCAACACAUAAGCUAGCUAGCUUUAGCUCAGGAUAAACCUAUGGGAUAAACACAUAGCAAAGCUAACGUCAAAUGACCUAAAAUACUCAUGGUGGCUAUGCUAUCCUGUUGUGUUGAUAUGUUGAUUUCGCUUUCUCCUAGAUAUUCUCGAGCAACGAAUAUAGUCUCAGAACAAGUCAGCCAAAGUUUAAGACACCGGUGUGAAGACUUCACAGGUUCACCAACCCGUAGAGGUUCCGGCUUGGGCGGUGGCUACAGGAAACAUAUCAAACGGGAUGGAAGAACCGACCAGGCUCCCAGACGAGUUCGGGUGUUGGACGAUGAUGGCAACAAUGUCACUCCUCUGCCCCUGUAUCAUGCAGAGACAGGAGACACGAAGUCCAAACCAGGAAGUUUCUUUUUGGAUGAAAUCUUUUCCAGCUCAGGAUCAGACAACUUGAAAUCCACCUCAAGCUUCAAUGUGCUCGCUUCCAGCUCAUUUAUGGGUAGCAGCCGACUAUCUAGCCUGUGCACCACAUCGUCACUGACUAAGCUGACUGAGGAAAAUCUUUCUAAAGUGGACAUACCAAUAAACCCCCCAGCUACAAGUGGUUAGUAUUCUUUUUUUUAAAGGUAUUGUAAGUAGGUAGCAUUGUUGGUUGCUUUUUGUAAACGCACAGCAUUCAAAGUUGGCCCCUCCCCCCUCCGUACGAAAGCACAAAUAAACACGCACACACCUCCACACACACCUCCGCACAACCCUUCGUGUAGGUGAUGGAUUGAAUGAAUGCAGUCAAAGUGUGUGUGUGUGUGUGUGUGUGUGUGUGUGUGUGUGUGUGUGUGUGUGUGUGUGUGUGUGUGUGUGUUCAUCCUCUGCACACAGAAAAGGAGAGAGACGGACAGGGGAAAUACUGAAGCACAUAAAAACACACAGCGAUGCAACAACCCUCUCAGUCACU